AUACCAGGAAACACUAUCUCGGCAUCCAACACAUCAAAAGGCAGUCCACGUGAGGCUAUAUCUGUGGCAAUACCAUGCCAGAAAUCUGGGCUAAUCUGACUCUGCUAUUCAUAAAUUCCCCCUCAUGUUAAAGCACAUGUGUUUGGGAAGGAAAAAUGAAUCCAAGUCAAUUUUAGACAUUGUUACUUGGAAACCAUCUGGAGUCCCUGGAAGCAUAAGAAGCCACCGCAUCCCCUGCCCUCAAAUGCCCACUGUAACUAGGGCAGUAUGCUCAGACGGGAGUUCAGAUGUCCCCUAUUCCCCAGGGAUGUCCCCACCCCCAUCCUACCAGAUGCCAUUUAUGUAACCUUAAUAGAUGUUGGCACCCUGCAGAGCCGCUCCUGGAGGCCAGGAAAGUGAUCCAGAAUCUCGUACAGUCAUAGUCCCUGAAAACAAACUCAGAGCAAACACCUGUUUCCAGGAAGACAGGCGGCCAGAGGGAGAAGGGAGUCCCGGGGAAAGGCAGGGAGGACGAAGCGAAGGGGCAGCCGGGGACGCAGGUA
rnacentral:lncRNA from 1 species